rnacentral:rRNA from 1 species
UACGAAGGGGGCUAGCGUUGUUCGGAAUUACUGGGCGUAAAGCGCGCGCAGGCGGUCUUCCAAGUCAGUGGUGAAAGCCUGGAGCUCAACUCCAGAACUGCCAUUGAAACUGUUAGACUUGAGUACGAGAGAGGUGAGUGGAAUUCCCAGUGUAGAGGUGAAAUUCGUAGAUAUUGGGAAGAACACCGGUGGCGAAGGCGGCGACCUGGUCCUUGACUGACGCUGAGGCGCGAAAGCGUGGGGAGCAAACAGG